rnacentral:rRNA from 1 species
AUGAACGCUGGCGGCGUGCCUCAUCCAUGCAAGUCGCGCGAACAGACGAGGAGCUUGCUCCUCUGACGUUAGCGGCGGACGGGUGAGUAACACGUGGAUAACCUACCUAUAAGACUGGGAUAACUUCGGGAAACCGGAGCUAAUACCGGAUAACAUGUUGAACCGCAUGGUUCAACAGUGAAAGACGGUUUUGCUGUCACUUAUAGAUGGAUCCGCGCCGCAUUAGCUAGUUGGUAAGGUAACGGCUUACCAAGGCAACGAUGCGUAGCCGACCUGAGAGGGUGAUCGGCCACACUGGAACUGAGACACGGUCCAGACUCCUACGGGAGGCAGCAGUAGGGAAUCUUCCGCAAUGGGCGAAAGCCUGACGGAGCAACGCCGCGUGAGUGAAGAAGGUCUUCGGAUCGUAAAACUCUGUUAUUAGGGAAGAACAAAUGUGUAAGUAACUAUGCACGUCUUGACGGUACCUAAUCAGAAAGCCACGGCUAACUACGUG